rnacentral:lncRNA from 1 species
AUAGACUUGAUAAAACAAGUCACAUAUUCAAAAAGGAAUUACUUUAGAAGGAAUUCUUUUGUAUGUGAUUCGUUUAAAUAACUUGUGUUAGCUAGGGUUGUUGAUAGUCUCAAAAUUGUUGAGACAUCAUCAAUAAGCUAAUGGAUCUCAAUGAUCCAAGACAAGUUAGUGGGAGCAAUAUGCAUUCAAAUCAAGAAAAUAUAAUUGUUAAUUUUUGAAUGAAUGCUAAGUUACAACAAGGCCAGUGGGAGUGAUGUCAUAAUUUGAGCAACAAGAUGUGAAU